rnacentral:tRNA from 1 species
GGCUUAAUGGCCGGGGUGGCAUGGCGCUGCUUACAAUGGAUGUUAUUGCUUAGCAUUAACUCCACGAGUGAGUAGUAGCUCGAGGGUUCGAUUCCCUCGCUGGCCA